UUGCUGUGGAGCAGGAAGUGUAGUUGCUCGCACCUGCUGCUGACUGUCCAAGGAAUCCAACCUGAACCCGCACUUUCCUCCCGAAAUCCGGCAGAAAUGAAGACGAACUCCGAUUCCCAGUAAUGGAGGAGUACGGGCGCCGGCUGGUCGCGGCUGGGUCCGACAACCUCACCCUCGAGGCGCUCUUCCGGUCCGAGCCCGCGGCGGGGAGGCCCGUGCGCGCGCUGGUGCACGACCUCCCGUGAGCGGGCCGCCGGCGGUGCCCUUCUCACAGCCAUGCGCGGUGGAAGUCAUCUGCGGGGAGGCCUUCGCCAGGCGCGUAGGGCUGCAUAUCGUGGAAGGGGCUGCCGAGUGUUGUUGGUCAACUCGUUCCAUGAUACCGAGCUGACGGUGAGGAAGAAGGAUUACCUGGCGUCAACAUGGCGUGUGAAGUCCAUCAGCCCGACAGUGCCGCCGUUCAACAAGACCAUUGUUUUGACCUCUUUGAGAAUUGAGAGCACAGCACCGUGCAUGGCAUGGCUGGAUAGCCAGCUCCCUUGCUCAGUCGUCUAUGCCCUUCUAACUUCUAUGAAACUGUCACUGACCUUGACGCGAGGCUGUUAUAGGAGAUAGGCAAUGGACUCUGCAAAUCUGGUAAGCAGUUCCUCUGGGGUCUCAGAUCCGUUCACGAAUACAAGGUUUCAGAGCAAGCCGGUGAGGUGUAGGAUAGAGGGUUAACUUUUUCCUGGUGCCCCCAGCUUGAGGUUUUACCACACAAGACCUAAGGUAUGUAUGUUUUACUUACAGCUGAUUGUGUGAUUUAUUAAGCAGAAGAAGAAAAAUGUCCAUGUAACUAUCUUACAGGUUCAUAUAUGAACAGUUGAACACUGUGCUGCUGAAUGUGUAAAGUACAUUAUCAAAGUAUAUAAGCGGAGCAAUAUAAAAACCAUCACUGUUCAUGUGAGGUGUUGUGAUGUCUAAUAUUCUUACUGCAUAUUAAUAUUCACUAAUUGUCCUUAUUUUUCAGAAGAUGAAAUGAAAUAAAUGUUGACGUCCUAGCAAUUACAAAUUAGUGUGCAAAGGCGUUAGUCUCCAGUUAUAGCAACACAAUGCCAUAUUAAUCAAUUACAAUGUGAAAAGGUAACAUUUACAGUAUAAUGCUACUAUGGUAGAUAGAAACUAUGGUUUCUAAAAAUCGCACAAGCCAUGUCUACUGCUUAAGUACUGCCUCUAUCUAGUUUUCAUCAGCAUAACUGUAGAAACCUGAAGGCGGGGAAUAAGGAAACAUGAACAGUAUAAACAUAUAUUUUUCCUAAAUUUACUGCUUAUCCUUCCAUAGACUCUGUCUUCGCUUAGGUUGUGUUGAUUGUUUAGUAAUGGUUUGCGAUAAUUUGUUGCUACAAGAGCAUACUGCUGUUGUCCAUGAUACUUUCAUACAGGGUAUAUGAGGUAUAUGUGUACCAUAGAGUGCAGUGUCCUUAACUUGCAAAGAUAUAUUUCUAAUCUAGUUAAUAUAGUUUAGGGUCAUGUACUCAGCCAAAUCUUGUAAGCUGUAGCUUAUCUCUUAAUUAAAUCUAAUCCUGUCUAACUCAAAGUGUAAAAGGGAUGUGAAUAUAUCCUGCAUAAUGUGUAGUGAACAGAUCGAGUGAUCUGUUCCAAAUAACUAAGUAGCUAGUAAAAAAAAUAACAUUUCACUUAUGAACUCAUCAACAGGUUGUUUCUUAACUCCGUGCGGAUGGAACUCUGCAAUAGAAGCAAUUACUACUGGGGUAGCACUGUUGGCAAUGCCUCAGUAAAUGAUUAACCAACUACGACAAUGCAUUGGUGUGGUGAGAAAGGAAAAUUGGUGUGCUGGUGCAUCGUGGUAAAGGUGCAGUCAAAAACCAAGAGUUAUAUAGAGAGGUGCAUAAGAGAAGUAUUCGAUGGUGAAUUUGCAUCCAUAUCAGUAAGAAAAGAAAUGAGUUUAAGACAGAGCAAAACUACGCAGCUCCAAAAGGUGAGGACCGGUUCAGCUCAACUAAUAAACCAGUCGGGUGAAGACGAGAUACUGAAGCUUCAAGUCCCUAAUGAAGGUGAGCGACAGUACAUGAUUAGCACAAGGUUUUUGGUGCUGUUUCAUCAGGUCCGGUGAUUGAAGCAAAAAAAGUUGCUCGAGAUUAGCAGAAGGCUGAGGGUGAGUCAGGGUCCGGUGAUGGAUGCAACAAAAUGCAUUGUUGUUUCUCCUCUCCUUAUCCGAGUAGAUGGUGUGAAAAAUGGGCACCAGUUAUCUUCAUUUGCCAUAUGUAAACAAGACAUUUACGAUGGCUACAUACUUAGGAACAUGUAGGCAAAAAUCCUACACAUGCAGAAAAUAACUUAUUGACCCAUCUCUUUGCUUUACUAAUCCCUCCUUUGACUCUCACUGUGUGUGCCUCCCUCAUGAUUUUCAGCCAUACCUUGACGUCCAAACCCGUUCUUCUAACCAUGUAGAAUUCCUUCCUAGGUGUAGCGUCUCUCAAUUAUUGGCACUCUUGGUUUACGGCUGCAUCCUGAAGAGAAAAAAAGGCCACACAAAUUGUAAUGCAACGUGUGGUGGUGUUGGUAGUGGAACAAUACUCAUUUCUGCUUUGUAAUAAUGUCCAUCCAUUAUUAUUAUUUUUCAUAUAUGAUGCCGUCUAACCUACUGCAAGAUGCCAGGAUUCA